UCAGGGGUGGAAACCAUGUCGAUGCGAGAUGGCUUUGGAGCCCUCUCUGCCAAGCCAUUUUCUUGCAUUUCUCUGUACUCUGCCUCUCCUUGUCUAUCAUUUCUAUCUUAUGGCUACGUUAUAAUUUCAAAAAGGUGGUGACUGCUUCUUCUUUUACUGCUGUACAGCACCGAGUGUGAUGGACGGAGCUCCAGGACACAGGAAACUGUACGGCAUGGAGCUGUGGAGGAUGUUAUCGUAGGGAGGGCUGACCGCUUACCGCUUCGUAGAGAGCUCUCAGGAAGUUAAUUUCGUCUGCCAGUGCAUCUGCUUUGGCCUGCAGCUCAACCUUGUUCAUGUAAGCUCCAUCCACAUCCUAAAGAAGAGAAAACCAAAGACUUCGGGGUGAAACCACAAAACAAAAGGACACCAGGAGGACCCACUCUCUGCUUCCAGGUAUUGUUUUGGGAAGCCCGAGGGAUCUGACCAGGACCUCCAUACAAUGGAGCUGCUUCUGUGGGUGAAUGAAUCCUGUCCUAAAUUCUGAGCCUGCAUGCAACCGACAUAGCUAGAGUGACCAAAACACCUGCAUCAUGUGAGCUGAAAUUCCCCCCUCCAGUGCUCAGCCCACUGCUGCCGCCGCUGCCACCUCCUCCGUAGCCAAGACCGCUAGAGAUGCCGAGACUGCUGCCUCCUCCAAAUCCACCUCCGAGACCACCACCACUGCUGAGUCCAAGUCCUCCUCCAUUUCCAAAGCUGUAGCCUCCACGGCCACCACCUCCUCCAAGACCAAAACUGCUUCCACCACCUCCUCCAAGGCCAAAGCCGCUUCCACCACCUCCUCCAAGACCAAAGCCGCUUCCACCGCCUCCUCCAAGACCAAAACCGCUUCCACCGCCUCCUCCGCUUAGGCUCAGUCCACCAAAUCCUCCUCCCAGGCCACCUCCACCAGCUGGUCCAGAGCUGGAGCUGAUCACCGCUGCAGGAAAAUACAACCAGAGGAUUGAACAUCUGCUCUGGCAACCUCCCAGUUGCAGAAAGCACCAUCAUCGGGACUUGGACCCAUGGGACUUGAACCCAACUUCUGUCCCCACAUGCUAAUGGUUCCGGUAGGCUCUGAAUGUCUUACAUGGAGCAAUUGGGUAAAACCUCCCUUUUCCCAGGGUUGCUCAAAGGCUCUGCUCCCAAUGGGCCCAAGGGAAAACGAGCACAGUGAUACUUACAGUAGCUGAUGGGGUUGAGUCCCUCGCCGCUCAGCCUGUUGGAGGGCAGACAAAGGGGAGGUCAGAGACAAAGUACAGAGGCAGGUGGGGGAACCAACCUGCUGGCAGGGGAACAGUGACAUUCACUAUUCCUUCUGCAGGGAUUUUGUUCCCACCUGCUCUCCUCGCCCUCCAGCAGCUUCCUGUAGGUCGCGAUCUCGAUGUCCAGGGCCAGCUUGACGUUCAUCAGCUCCUGGUACUCGCGCAGCU